GAUGAACGCUAGCGGCAGGCCUAAUACAUGUAAGUCGAACGGGUGUAGCAAUACACUAGUGGCGCACGGGUGCGUAACGCGUAACCAACCUGCCCGAACCUGGGGGAUAGCCCGCCGAAAGGCGGAUCAAUACCGCAUAACCCGAUAGAACGGCAGCGGUUAUUCCUUAAAGAUUUAUUGGAGUCGGAUGGGGUUGCGUCGCAUUAGCUAGGUGUCGGGGUAACGGCCCACCAAGGCAACGAUGCUUAGGGGAGCCGAGAGGCUGGUCCCCCACACGGGCACUGAGAUACGGACGCGACUCCUACGGGAGGCAGCAGUAGGGAAUAUUGGGCAAUGGAAGAGAUUCUGACCCAGCCAUGCCGCUUGCAGGAUGAAGGCUUUCUGAGUCGUAAACUGCUUUUGCCAGGGAAGAAAAAAGGGGAUGCGUCCUCUACUGACGGUACUUGGUGAAUAAGCACCGGCUAACUCCGUGCCAGCAGCCGCGGUAACAC
rnacentral:rRNA from 1 species